rnacentral:rRNA from 1 species
UGGGGAAUAUUGGACAAUGGGCGCAAGCCUGAUCCAGCAAUGCCGCGUGUGUGAAGAAGGCCUUCGGGUUGUAAAGCACUUUUAUCAGGAGCGAAACGCUGUCGGCUAAUACCCGGCGGAACUGACGGUACCUGAGGAAUAAGCACCGGCUAACUUCGUGCCAGCAGCCGCGGUAAUACGAAGGGUGCAAGCGUUAAUCGGAAUUACUGGGCGUAAAGCGUGCGUAGGCGGUGACUUAAGUCUGCUGUGAAAUCCCCGGGCUCAACCUGGGAAUGGCAGUGGAUACUGGGUCGCUAGAGUGUGACAGAGGAUGGUGGAAUUCCCGGCGUAGCGGUGAAAUGCGUAGAGAUCGGGAGGAACAUCAGUGGCGAAGGCGGCCAUCUGGAUCAACACUGACGCUGAGGCACGAAAGCGUGGGGAGCAAACA